rnacentral:rRNA from 1 species
UUCGACACACUAUCAUUAACUGAAUCCAUAGGUUAAUGAGGCGAACCGGGGGAACUGAAACAUCUAAGUACCCCGAGGAAAAGAAAUCAACCGAGAUUCCCCCAGUAGCGGCGAGCGAACGGGGAGGAGCCCAGAGCCUGAAUCAGUGUGUGUGUUAGUGGAAGCGUCUGGAAAGGCGCGCGAUACAGGGUGACAGCCCCGUACACAAAAAUGCACAUACUGUGAGCUCGAUGAGUAGGGCGGGACACGUGGUAUCCUGUCUGAAUAUGGGGGGACCAUCCUCCAAGGCUAAAUACUCCUGACUGACCGAUAGUGAACCAGUACCGUGAGGGAAAGGCGAAAAGAACCCCGGCGAGGGGAGUGAAAAAGAACCUGAAACCGUGUACGUACAAGCAGUGGGAGCCUCUUUUAUGGGGUGACUGCGUACCUUUUGUAUAAUGGGUCAGCGACUUAUAUUCUGUAGCAAGGUUAACCGAAUAGGGGAGCCGAAGGGAAACCGAGUCUUAACUGGGCGUUAAGUUGCAGGGUAUAGACCCGAAACCCGGUGAUCUAGCCAUGGGCAGGUUGAAGGUUGGGUAACACUAACUGGAGGACCGAACCGACUAAUGUUGAAAAAUUAGCGGAUGACUUGUGGCUGGGGGUGAAAGGCCAAUCAAACCGGGAGAUAGCUGGUUCUCCCCGAAAGCUAUUUAGGUAGCGCCUCGUGAAUUCAUCUCCGGGGGUAGAGCACUGUUUCGGCAAGGGGGUCAUCCCGACUUACCAACCCGAUGCAAACUGCGAAUACCGGAGAAUGUUAUCACGGGAGACACACGGCGGGUGCUAACGUCCGUCGUGAAGAGGGAAACAACCCAGACCGCCAGCUAAGGUCCCAAAGUCAUGGUUAAGUGGGAAACGAUGUGGGAAGGCCCAGACAGCCAGGAUGUUGGCUUAGAAGCAGCCAUCAUUUAAAGAAAGCGUAAUAGCUCACUGGUCGAGUCGGCCUGCGCGGAAGAUGUAACGGGGCUAAACCAUG